AUUAGAGCAGCCUGUGGCCCGCCGUACAUUUUCAGUAAGUGUUACUUUCUACUUUCCCAAACCAGGACUUUUUCAAAUGCCCGAUUUACCUUCAGGUGGCUUAAAUCACAACAGAAAACAAGGUGCCGGCUGCCCAACUCAGCAAACCUGUUUGUUACAAAUAAGUCGACGUUGCCAAGGUGCAUGGAGCCUCCCUGGUGCAGAGGCCUUCCCAUCCACGUCCGGCUUGAGUGGGCGAAGUGGCAAAAGCUCUAAUUAUGUUCGGGGAAGCUUCAAGUCCGAAGCAGCAAAUAUCACAGACAUAUAUGAAGUGCCUCCUAGAUAAAGCAAUGAAUAAGAAAGACAAGAUCCCUGCCCUCUUGGAGGUUACAUUCCACUGGUAGCUGGGGGAAUUGACCCCGGAGAGGAAAAGCUUGUGAGCCAUAGUGAAGACUUUGGAUUGGAUCCGGUUGUUAAAUGAAAACCCAAUAUUGACUUUAAGCAAGAGAGUGGUCUGAGCAGAUUUGUGUUUCAGAGAAACCACACUGGAAAACAAUACAGAGGAUGAGUGGACCGCUCAAGGAUGAGACUGGUGGCAGGAAGUUCAGAAUGGAGGCUCCUGGGAUACCCUGGAGAUGUGUGUGAUGGCGCCCUAGACCAAGCAGGGCUGAUGAGAAGGAAAGAUGGCCCCACAGCUCACCCAGGACCGGGCUAGCCAGUGACACUGGCUCCCUGGGCUGUAUGACAAAGCAGCACAUCUUCAAACCGAUAUUUUAAAAAUGGACACUUCCAUUUAGUGGGCAUGAAGGGAAACAAAGUGUCUAUUAGUAGAA